rnacentral:tRNA from 1 species
GAGGGUGUAGCUCAAGUGGUAGAGCACAUGCUUAGCAUAUUAAAAGGUCCUGGGUUCAAUCCCCAGCAGUCCCU